UCUAUAUUAUGCAUUUAUUUAUUUUUUAAUAUCUAUGCCAUUAAAAAGUCAGAAUUGGGUCCUACAGUAGAACCCCUUAACCCAAUAAAAAGUCAGAAUUUGUUUGUUUGUUAUUUUUUUAAAGUAUGCAGUGUAUGGCCUGGGCUUAGACAUCUGAUUCCCAGAUUCUUCCAAUUCCUAUGGGAGCAGUAGGUGGUGCUUGUGGAGGUGGAAUUUGGACUCGGAUCUCAGUUGAGACGUUGACUGUGGUGGUCGGAGGUUCACAAUCUUGGCGCUAGGCACUAUACAAGUCUGGUAGUGGGACCAUACAGUACCGAGUCGUACCAUACCGAGACUUGCGUUGUGUAGAUUUACCCAGCAUAACCUUCCAGCUUGUAAACCUGUUCUUACACUAGGAUGGGUAAUGAUGACUUUCUGGUCAUGGGCAUCAGAAAGUGUAAUUACACUUGCCACUGCUUGCUGAGUGACCAAUAGGGUCUCAUGGUGUGUCUGGAUGCACGCUGCUGCUCUGCCCUCCUUCAGGCAAGUCAAUGGUAUAAUUGAAGAGGAUCUAGAUGCUUUAGCAACUACAACACUUAGUGCUUUGGGGGAAAGAAAGAGCUUGUUCUUACAGCAUUCAAUUUCCUUGGGAUGGACUAUAUUGCCACAAGCAUACCUUCAUUCCGAUCUAAAGUCUUGUUUGCAUCGAUUCAUGUGAAAUAUCCAAAGUAAAUUUCUGUGUUGCAUGAUUGUGUUCCCUGUAACAUAAUAAGGUGUCUUGAUAGAUUGCAUAUUACAAAAGUGUUGGUAAAAGCUGCAUAUCACGAUGAUAUCUGUAUUUGUAUCCAUUAUUUUUUUUCCUGUAAUUAUCAAUCUCAGUUAUGAUGUAUUAGUUUUCCAGAUUGACAAUUGUCGGCUUUGCAGCAGUGACUUUCUAACUAAUGCAGGACCGCUAUGUAGCAAUACAUUAAAUCUUACCUUUCCCCUUAAAACUGAGUUUAUGUUUAUGUUGUCACCUUUUUUUGUGGUUGCUGUUUACAGGCCCUAUGGCGAUCCAACUUAUUUAUCUUGGACCAGGAAAAGCAACGCAGGCUAAUAACAGGUUAUUUUCUUUCGUUAAUCUGGUCCCAGACAAUUGGUGUUUUACUGAGCCACUAAGGUGGCUUACUGUCAGAAACCUUUCAGUUUCAUGUGGCCGAUCGGUUGCUGGAGAUCAUCCGGAGAAGUUAUGGCGCCAUUUAAGCUUAGCAUCCCAAUUACAGGCCAUAUAUAUAUGAUGUUUUAGUGCUGGCGCAAUCAAGGGUGACAGAUUUCGAGCAUCUUGGCUUUUUUCCUGUAAUUUUCCCGAAAUGCUCCAAUUCAUAUAUCUACCUGCCGGGCUAUUCUCAGCUCGACAAAAGUAUUAUUUUGGUGUAUAGUUUCAGGUAAAGCUCUUACAAAUUAAAGGUUGAAGGUGGUUUUACUGAUUAGUGGAGCUGCUGCAAGUUAAUAUGCUUAAAUCCUUAACCAUAGUCUAACCGAAGCCAAGGUGUUCCUUCUGUUCAUCUCCCAAAUGCCAAUUCUAACCAAGUAUGUUGUGUGCUUUUGGGUGUUAUAACAGGUAUAAGGUUUUUUUUGGAGCCUUGUUCUUGGUUAGUUGAGUAAUGAGAACAUCAUAGUAUUUUGGGAAUCCUUCUGGAAAAGGCAUCUCAACAUUGUGAGCUCUAUUUUCAGCUAGGGAGAUGAAAUGCCUGCUGAGUUGGUGGAAAGAGACAUACAUUUGAUCUACCAGUACUCUGUUGAUCCAUGUGUCUGGUAGGUGGGUGGGGUGAGAGAUAAUGUGCUAGUUGUUGUGCCAUCAGACUACAACCUAGAGAAGUAUUUGGUGUUCUAUCAUCUUUAGAGAAUUUUGCCCUUUUGUUUCCAUCUCCGUAUGGUACCUCGUGGUCAGCAGUACUUUCAUAUUCGUGAUUAUAUAUAUACUUAU